AUUGAACGCUGGCGGUAUGCUUAACACAUGCAAGUCGAACGGUAACAGGUCUAGCUUGCUAGAUGCUGACGAGUGGCGGACGGGUGAGUAACGCGUAGGAACCUGUCUAUGAGAGUGGGACAACCCGGGGAAACUCGUGCUAAUACCACGUACGUUCUACGGAAGAAAGGCUGGGGUGACCCAGUUGCUCAUAGGGGGGCCUGCGUUGGAUUAGCUAGUUGGUGGGGUAAAGGCCUACCAAGGCGACGAUCCAUAGCUGUUCUGAGAGGAGGAUCAGCCACACUGGGACUGAGACACGGCCCAGACUCCUACGGGAGGCAGCAGUGGGGAAUAUUGGACAAUGGGCGCAAGCCUGAUCCAGCAAUACCGCGUGUGUGAAGAAGGCCUCGGUU
rnacentral:rRNA from 1 species